rnacentral:rRNA from 1 species
GAUGAACGCUGGCGGCGCGCCUAAUACAUGCAAGUCGAGCGAACAGACGAGGAGCUUGCUCCUCUGACGUUAGCGGCGGACGGGUGAGUAACACGUGGAUAACCUACCUAUAAGACUGGGAUAACUUCGGGAAACCGGAGCUAAUACCGGAUAAUAUAUUGAACCGCAUGGUUCAAUAGUGAAAGACGGUUUUGCUGUCACUUAUAGAUGGUUCCGCGCCGCAUUAGCUAGUUGGUAAGGUAACGGCUUACCAAGGCAACGAUGCGUAGCCGACCUGAGAGGAUGAUCGGCCACACUGGAACUGAGACACGGUCCAGACUCCUACGGGAGGCAGCAGUAGGGAAUAUUCCGCAAUGGGCGAAAGCUUGACGGAGCAACGCCGCGUGAGUGAUGAAGGUCUUCGGAUCGUAAAACUCUGUUAUUAGGGAAGAACAAAUGUAUAAGUAACUAUGCACGUCUUGACGGUACCUAAUCAGAAAGCCACGGCUAACUACGUG